CUGGGGUUGGGCUCAGUGGUAGAGCGCUUGCCUAGUACGUGUGAGGCACUGGUGUUCGAUCCUCAGCACCACAUA
rnacentral:tRNA from 1 species